rnacentral:rRNA from 1 species
UGCGUAGGCGGCCACUUAAGUCAGGGGUGAAAUAUGUCGGCUCAACCGGCAAACGGCCUCUGAAACUGAGUGGCUUGAGUCCGGGAGAGGAAGGUGGAAUUCCUGGUGUAGCGGUGAAAUGCGUAAAUAUCAGGAGGAACACCGGUGGCGAAGGCGGCCUUCUGGCCCGGUACUGACGCUGAGGCACGAAAGCCAGGGGAGCGAACG